CUUACACCCAGCUGCAUGUUAACUCCCAGCCCCUAUCAGGCUGAUUGGUUCUCUCGACUGACAUAGGGAAUGGAGAGAAAAUUUAGCACUUUCUGGCUUCAUCAGCACAUGAUGACAUAAUUCUGGAACAUGCCUGAAAUCCUCUGGGCCUGCCUCAAGAAGAGAUGGAAGCUAUUGUGACUGGACCCGGCUAAUCUUCAGCUAUACCAUUUGGGGAGAAGAAACGAAAGAAAGGAGCUUCAUUCCAAACGGUUGCAUCUCUGCAUAAAGAAAACCUGAAUAAAUUGAUGACUAAUCUGAAAUCAACAGCACCUCAUUUUGUGAGAUGCAUAAAUCCCAAUGUGAACAAAAUACCAGGUAUACUGGACCCUUACUUGGUUCUACAGCAGUUGCGCUGUAAUGGUGUCUUGGAAGGGACUAGGAUAUGCCGUGAAGGUUUUCCAAACCGACUGCAGUAUGCUGAUUUUAAACAAAGGUACUGCAUUCUGAAUCCAAGGACCUUUCCAAAGAGCAAGUUUGUGAGCAGCA
rnacentral:lncRNA from 10 species